GAAAAGGCGAUGGUUUGCAGUGGAAGAAGGGUGGAAGGAAGAAGGUAGGGAAGGGGUGCGGCUGCGGCGGCUGCGCGGAGGAGGCGAGGCGAGGCCAGAUGUAUAUGGUCGCGGGAGCGGCAGGGGGUAAAGGGAGGAGGGGUUGGGCGGUAAAGGGGAGGAGGGGCUCGCAGGACGGAGACGGCAGAGGCGCCUCACGGUAGAAGAGGCGAGGGAGGCGCGUCAGGUUGGUUAGAAAGACUAGCCGGCCAGCUUUACCCGGUGCUCCCGUGGUUCAUGCCGCUCCUGCCGGCGGGGUGGACGCUGACGGAGGAGAAGCUGGAACUACUGUGCGAGAUGGGCCACCGGAGGCCGUAGCCGGACCUGCAGUACUUCUUGUAGGUUCUUAUGUACCAGCUCUUCGAGCCGUAGCUGUUCUCGCAGUCGGUGCUCGAGACGUAGGACGACAUGUUCGUCAUGCCUUGGUGGUACCGGCCAGACGCCCGACAACCCAUGGUUAAACUGAUGCUACUAAAGGUGCCGAAACAAGUACCGUCCGACCGGAUGCUCUUCGAGUUCGGACUGGGUCAUGAGUCCUUGUAGGAGGACUCGAAUGGUUAGGCGUUUGAGCACAAGUGCUUACCACUGUCCGACGUACGAAGCUCCCGGUACUUCUCCGAACCCUAGCUCCUGACGAAACUCCCCCAAGACACGAAACUCUGUAACUUGGGCGGUAGCGGGUGAGGACACGGUAGGUUGUUUCAGCUCUAGAAGCUAUAUCACUUCGUGGACCGAGUAGGUCUCGGACCCCAACUCGACGGUUCCAGUGGUUAGGACACGUUUGGUUUGUAUCUACGUUACGACGUACGGGAGUUCGAACGGCUGUAGUUAGGAGUCUGAUGAUAUAAAAAGCUACUGUCGCAGUCCUUGUAGGUUCGACCCUUCGUCUAGCCUUACGUGUGACAGGACCAACCUUGAAGACUUUCCUAAUUUCCGCGACUGGUACGGAACCUCUCGGAAGUGUUGUACUUCCUUCGCAAAGGUCUUGACACCCACCUCCGACACUUCCUACUCCUGCAGUCCUUGAGCUCGUUUCAGCCUUAGCUCUGUAGUCACUAGCGCAUU
rnacentral:rRNA from 1 species